AGUUAAGUCAACUAUGUACAUAAACUCGAAACAAAACAUCUACCUGCAGUAGGGGCACCUCUAGCUCAGCACGUCGGGUAGGGCUCUAACUCGCGACGCCCUUGCCUCGAUCCUGAUCCGCGGACGGUGCAGCAGCCGGAACCUGUGGCUCUGCAAAAACAUAGGUAACAACUGGGCGUGAGAACUACUGUAAAAACAAGUAGUCCUCAGUGGGUACCGCCCAAAACAACAUCGGUCCACCCACUAAGUCUACAGAAGGGAGCAAGAGUAGUCAGAAAAGCAGGAAAUAAACUCUACCGCUAUCGAUCACUACACUAUCAUGCUCUACACUAACCAACUGUAGGAAAUGUCAACUCUGACCCAAUCCAAUCGGGACUGUAAGCAUACCCGUCCCCGGGACUGUGAAUACACCCGUCCCUGCCCCGUUGCGACUAUCAAGCUCUAUCCACACUAACUGGUCCGUGGAGAGCAAGUCCAACUGGCAUGAGCGACACCAACGCGAAAGCACAAAGCCUGACUCCGGAGUGGCACUCGUGGGCGCUACCCAACCGAGUAUGCAGCGUAUCUCUGUCGAGCUCAAACAGGCUCUGAAAAGCCAAAGUCAAGAAAUCGACUCUAACUGGUCUAACAACCAACAAGUAACGUGCCCUCGGCACAAUCAGACGCCAAAAAGGCGAUACGGGUCCACCGUCAACCUCAACGGCACCCUACAGUCUGGAACAGC
rnacentral:lncRNA from 1 species